rnacentral:misc_RNA from 1 species
AAAUUUACCAGUAUCACAAAUAUAACCUGUUAAGGUUUGAAUGUGUUUGCAGCACUUUCACAUACAUUUUGGUAUUGGAGCUUGGGCACCAUUUUGAUGAUUAUUGGAAAAAUCAUUACAUAUAUACUAAAACUCUUAUCAUAUUUUUGGAAAUUGAGAUAUUAAGUUAAAAGAGAGUUAUUUAGAUAUUCUUGUACAUUUUCAUGUUCUUAAUUUUUAGAUAUAAGAAUAUUUGGAGUAAAAGUUUGCAACUUUGUUUUCGUCUGGUACAGAGUAUUCAAAAGUUGUAGCUAUUGACAAUUGAGAGCCCUGAUAUAAUGGAUGCCACGGUAAUUAUAGUGUUUGGUUGUUCUGAUAAUUUCAGACUUUUUUACUGUGUAUUUGCCAUAAAGAAGACAUGUAUUUUUGUAUCAGAUGGUGCUAUACUUUGUUUUUAUAUGUAUCCGUAUUAAUUGGUUGAGAUCUUCUCUUUGUAUCCAAUGUGAUCAGUUUGGUUAUUGCGCAUUGAAAAUAGUUUUGUUGUAGAUGUGUCUUGUUAUAAAAUGACAUCAGUAUGUGCCAAACAUUACAAGUCUACUUAAAAUGCAUUUAUGAAUACAUGUCAGUGUAUUACUAAAAUGUAUAUUAUAUGUAAUGCUUUUUUAGAUUUUGUAUAUUUUUUGCAUUUUGAUAAAGUCUUCAUUCAAUUU